rnacentral:rRNA from 1 species
GGCUUGCAGUGGGUACGGGCAGACUAGAGUGCGGUAGGGGAGAUUGGAAUUCCUGGUGUAGCGGUGGAAUGCGCAGAUAUCAGGAGGAACACCGAUGGCGAAGGCAGAUCUCUGGGCCGUUACUGACGCUGAGGAGCGAAAGGGUGGGGAGCAAACAGGCUUAGAUACCCUGGUAGUCCACCCCGUAAACGUUGGGAACUAGUUGUGGGGUCCUUUCCACGGAUUCCGUGACGUAGCUAACGCAUUAAGUUCCCCGCCUGGGGAGUACGGCCGCAAGGCUAAAACUCAAAGGAAUUGACGGGGACCCGCACAAGCGGCGGAGCAUGCGGAUUAAUUCGAUGCAACGCGAAGAACCUUACCAAGGCUUGACAUACACCAGAACGGGCCAGAAAUGGUCAACUCUUUGGACACUGGUGAACAGGUGGUGCAUGGUUGUCGUCAGCUCGUGUCGUGAGAUGUUGGGUUAAGUCCCGCAACGAGCGCAACCCUCGUUCUAUGUUGCCAGCACGUUAUGGUGGGAACUCAUGGGAUACUGCCGGGGUCAACUCGGAGGAAGGUGGGGAUGACGUCAAAUCAUCAUGCCCCUUAUGUCUUGGGCUUCACGCAUGCUACAAUGGCCGGUACAAUGGGCUGCGAUACCGCGAGGUGGAGCGAAUCCCAAAAAGCCGGUCCCAGUUCGGAUUGAGGUCUGCAACUCGACCUCAUGAAGUCGGAGUCGCUAGUAAUCGCAGAUCAGCAACGCUGC